AAUGCUAUUAGAUGCAGUCUACCAUUAAUAUUCUGUUGCAAAAUGGCACAUAAACCUAAACCAUCUUCAUUAUCUUCUUCAUCACUUGAGUUAGCAUGCACAAUUUUCGAUUUGAUGGAAUUUAAUACUUUGGUUUGUUUAUUGGCAUUUUCGGUCCAACUUUCUCUUGCAAGCAUGCGAAGGAUGAUGCGAAAGCGGCUAUCACUUGUCUUUUCGAUGUGCCAGUCAAAAUCGUCAGUUCACGGUCAUAACAAGUCUGUGGUCAGUCAAACUGGAAUCGGAACUACUGCGAAAGCAUUUGCCAAGAAUGUUUUCAUUAAUCAAGAACGAAAGUUAGAGGUUCGAAGGCGAUCAGAUACCGCUCUAGUUCUAACCAUAAAUGAUCCUUUUCCCGAUUCCGAUUUACUGAUCCAAUUGGGGAGAAAACUUCCAAGCU
rnacentral:ncRNA from 1 species